AUUGAACGCUGGCGGCAGGCCUAACACAUGCAAGUCGCACGAGUGGCAGACGGGUGAGUAAUGUCUGGGAAACUGCCAGGUGGAGGGGGAAAAACAGUAAACACGGUAGCUAAUACCGCAUACUAUCAGAUGCGCCCAGAUGGUAUGAGCUAUUGGGUGGGGUAACGGCUCACCAAGGCGACGAUCUCUAGCUGGGCUGAGAGGAUGACCAGCCACACUGGAACUGAGAAACGGUCCAGACUCCUACGGGAGGCAGCAGUGGGGAAUAUUGCACAAUGGGCGCAAGCCUGAUGCAGCCAUGCCGCGUGUAUGAAGAAGGCCUUCGGGUUGUAAAGUACUUUCAGCGGGGAGGCGUUACCCGCAGAAGAAGCACCGGCUAACUCCGUGCCAGCAGCCGCGGUAAUAC
rnacentral:rRNA from 1 species